CGCGAGGAUCGGCCUAGGGUAAAACUGGUGACUGGGGCUAAGUCGUAACAAGGUAGCCGUACCGGAAGGUGCGGCUGGAACACCUCCUUUCUGGAGCUUCAGGAUUCCGUACCGAGGUCAUACGAGGUAUUGAUCCCUUGUGCUGCUGUUGAGAUUAUGUUUAUAUAUAUGAUCAAUGACCGGAAGGCCGGUCGGAGAGAAAAAGAUGACGCUGGGACGUAAGUCUUGGCAAAGUUGACAGUCCUAUAGCUCAGUUGGUUAGAGCGCUCUACUGAUAAUGUAGAGGGCGGCAGUUCAACUCUGCCUGGGACUACUCCGAAUGAGGGGGAUUUCUCAGCUGGCUAGAGCAUCUGCCUUGCACGCAGAAGGUCGCGGUUCGAAUCCGUUAUUCUCCACACAUCCCGCUAAGGAAAGAGGAUCUUUGACAUGUUGGACAUCAAAAAGAAGAAACUAGUAGAGCGAGCUUAAGAUAUAUCUACCCGUGCGUAAAGUACGAGGUGAGAGAAAGUAAGCAAGGGC
rnacentral:misc_RNA from 1 species